rnacentral:rRNA from 1 species
UACGUAGGGGGCAAGCGUUGUUCGGAAUUACUGGGCGUAAAGCGCGCGUAGGCGGUUUGGAAAGUCAGAUGUGAAAGCCCCGGGCUCAACUUGGGAACUGCAUUUGAUACUGCCAGACUAGAGUACAGAAGAGGGUGACUGGAAUUCCCAGUGUGAGCGGUGAAAUGACGUAGAUAUUGGGAGGAACACCAGAUGCGAAGGCGGGUCACUGGGCUGAUACUGACGCUGAAGUGCGGAAAG